rnacentral:rRNA from 1 species
UUAAGCGACUAAGCGUACACGGUGGAUGCCCUGGCAGUCAGAGGCGAUGAAGGACGUGCUAAUCUGCGAAAAGCGUCGGUAAGGUGAUAUGAACCGUUACAGCCGGCGAUGUCCGAAUGGGGAAACCCAGUGCAAUUCGUUGCACUAUCGUUAACUGAAUACAUAGGUUAACGAGGCGAACCGGGGGAACUGAAACAUCUAAGUACCCCGAGGAAAAGAAAUCAACCGAGAUUCCCCCAGUAGCGGCGAGCGAACGGGGAGCAGCCCAGAGUCUGAAUCAGCUUGUGUGUUAGUGGAACGGUCUGGAAAGUCCGACGGUACAGGGUGAUAGUCCCGUACACCAAAAUGCACAGGUUGUGAACUCGAAGAGUAGGGCGGGACACGUGGUAUCCUGUCUGAAUAUGGGGGGACCAUCCUCCAAGGCUAAAUACUCCUGACUGACCGAUAGUGAACCAGUACCGUGAGGGAAAGGCGAAAAGAACCCCGGCGAGGGGAGUGAAAAAGAACCUGAAACCGUGUACGUACAAGCAGUGGGAGCACCUUCGGGUGUGACUGCGUACCUUUUGUAUAAUGGGUCAGCGACUUAUAUUCUGUAGCAAGGUUAACCGUAUAGGGGAGCCGCAGGGAAACCGAGUCUUAACUGGGCGUUAAGUUGCAGGGUAUAGACCCGAAACCCGGUGAUCUAGCCAUGGGCAGGUUGAAGGUUGGGUAACACUAACUGGAGGACCGAACCGACUAAUGUUGAAAAAUUAGCGGAUGACUUGUGGCUGGGGGUGAAAGGCCAAUCAAACCGGGAGAUAGCUGGUUCUCCCCGAAAGCUAUUUAGGUAGCGCCUCGUGAACUCAUCUUCGGGGGUAGAGCACUGUUUCGGCUAGGGGGUCAUCCCGACUUACCAACCCGAUGCAAACUACGAAUACCGAAGAAUGUUAUCACGGGAGACACACGGCGGGUGCUAACGUCCGUCGUGAAGAGGGAAACAACCCAGACCGCCAGCUAAGGUCCCAAAGUCAUGGUUAAGUGGGAAACGAUGUGGGAAGGCACAGACAGCCAGGAUGUUGGCUUAGAAGCAGCCAUCAUUUAAAGAAAGCGUAAUAGCUCACUGGUCGAGUCGGCCUGCGCGGAAGAUGUAACGGGGCUAAACCAUGCACCGAAGCUGCGGCAGCGACACUAUGUGUUGUUGGGUAGGGGAGCGUUCUGUAAGCCUGCGAAGGUGUGCUGUGAGGCAUGCUGGAGGUAUCAGAAGUGCGAAUGCUGACAUAAGUAACGAUAAAGCGGGUGAAAAGCCCGCUCGCCGGAAGACCAAGGGUUCCUGUCCAACGUUAAUCGGGGCAGGGUGAGUCGACCCCUAAGGCGAGGCCGAAAGGCGUAGUCGAUGGGAAACAGGUUAAUAUUCCUGUACUUGGUGUUACUGCGAAGGGGGGACGGAGAAGGCUAUGUUAGCCGGGCGACGGUUGUCCCGGUUUAAGCAUGUAGGCUGGUUGUCCAGGCAAAUCCGGAUAAUCAAGGCUGAGGUGUGAUGACGAGGCACUACGGUGCUGAAGUAACAAAUGCCCUGCUUCCAGGAAAAGCCUCUAAGCAUCAGGUAACAUUAAAUCGUACCCCAAACCGACACAGGUGGUCAGGUAGAGAAUACCAAGGCGCUUGAGAGAACUCGGGUGAAGGAACUAGGCAAAAUGGUGCCGUAACUUCGGGAGAAGGCACGCUGGUGUGUAGGUGAAGUCCCUGCGGAUGGAGCUGAGACCAGUCGAAGAUACCAGCUGGCUGCAACUGUUUAUUAAAAACACAGCACUGUGCAAACACGAAAGUGGACGUAUACGGUGUGACGCCUGCCCGGUGCCGGAAGGUUAAUUGAUGGGGUUAUCCGUAAGGAGAAGCUCUUGAUCGAAGCCCCGGUAAACGGCGGCCGUAACUAUAACGGUCCUAAGGUAGCGAAAUUCCUUGUCGGGUAAGUUCCGACCUGCACGAAUGGCGUAAUGAUGGCCAGGCUGUCUCCACCCGAGACUCAGUGAAAUUGAACUCGCUGUGAAGAUGCAGUGUACCCGCGGCAAGACGGAAAGACCCCGUGAACCUUUACUAUAGCUUGACACUGAACAUUGAGCCUUGAUGUGUAGGAUAGGUGGGAGGCUUUGAAGCGUGGACGCCAGUCUGCGUGGAGCCAACCUUGAAAUACCACCCUUUAAUGUUUGAUGUUCUAACGUUGGCCCCUUACCGGGGUUGCGGACAGUGUCUGGUGGGUAGUUUGACUGGGGCGGUCUCCUCCCAAAGCGUAACGGAGGAGCACGAAGGUUAGCUAAUCCUGGUCGGACAUCAGGAGGUUAGUGCAAUGGCAUAAGCUAGCUUGACUGCGAGCGUGACGGCGCGAGCAGGUGCGAAAGCAGGUCAUAGUGAUCCGGUGGUUCUGAAUGGAAGGGCCAUCGCUCAACGGAUAAAAGGUACUCCGGGGAUAACAGGCUGAUACCGCCCAAGAGUUCAUAUCGACGGCGGUGUUUGGCACCUCGAUGUCGGCUCAUCACAUCCUGGGGCUGAAGUAGGUCCCAAGGGUAUGGCUGUUCGCCAUUUAAAGUGGUACGCGAGCUGGGUUUAGAACGUCGUGAGACAGUUCGGUCCCUAUCUGCCGUGGGCGCUGGAGAAUUGAGGGGGGCUGCUCCUAGUACGAGAGGACCGGAGUGGACGCAUCACUGGUGUUCGGGUUGUCAUGCCAAUGGCACUGCCCGGUAGCUAAAUGCGGAAGAGAUAAGUGCUGAAAGCAUCUAAGCACGAAACUUGCCCCGAGAUGAGUUCUCCCUGAGACUUUAAGUCUCCUGAAGGAACGUUGAAGACGACGACGUUGAUAGGCCGGGUGUGUAAGCGCAGCGAUGCGUUGAGCUAACCGGUACUAAUGAACCGUGAGGCUUAACCUU